rnacentral:rRNA from 1 species
UGGGGAAUAUUGGUCAAUGGGCGAGAGCCUGAACCAGCCAAGUAGCGUGAAGGAUGACUGCCCUAUGGGUUGUAAACUUCUUUUAUAAAGGAAUAAAGUCGGGUAUGUAUACCCGUUUGCAUGUACUUUAUGAAUAAGGAUCGGCUAACUCCGUGCCAGCAGCCGCGGUAAUACGGAGGAUCCGAGCGUUAUCCGGAUUUAUUGGGUUUAAAGGGAGCGUAGAUGGAUGUUUAAGUCAGUUGUGAAAGUUUGCGGCUCAACCGUAAAAUUGCAGUUGAUACUGGCUGUCUUGAGUACAGUAGAGGUGGGCGGAAUUCGUGGUGUAGCGGUGAAAUGCUUAGAUAUCACGAAGAACUCCGAUUGCGAAGGCAGCUCACUGGACUGCAACUGACACUGAUGCUCGAAAGUGUGGGUAUCAAACAGG